GGAACAGCUAGAGCUGCAAACUGAGAUGGAACAACUUCUGAAGGAUAGACUCCUCUAUUCAAGCAUGACACGUCUAGUGUCAGUUUCACCUUCUUGCCAGUAGUAAAACUCAUAAAAUGAAGCUGCAACUCAAGUUUCUCAACAGUUGGAGUGGAAAAGGUAAUAUCAGCCAAGUUCCGGAACUGUGUUUGUGCCUUUUGCACCUCGGUGACCACAUCAAGCGAGUUGCCUAAAAGAGAACUGGUAACCUGCGUUUCUUGUGCGGGAGUCCUAGCACCAAAUUUCUUUGAGAUCUCAGCCUUUAACACAAAUCUUAAUGCAGC
rnacentral:misc_RNA from 1 species